GGGUUGUGAGGUUAAGCGACCAAGCGUACACGGUGGAUGCCCUGGCAGUCAGAGGCGAUGAAGGACGUGCUAAUCUGCGAAAAGCGCCGGUAAGGUGAUAUGAACCGUUAUAACCGGCGAUGUCCGAAUGGGGAAACCCAGUGUGAUUCGUCACACUAUCAUUAACUGAAUCCAUAGGUUAAUGAGGCGAACCGGGGGAACUGAAACAUCUAAGUACCCCGAGGAAAAGAAAUCAACCGAGAUUCCCCCAGUAGCGGCGAGCGAACGGGGAGGAGCCCAGAGUCUGAAUCAGCAUGUGUGUUAGUGGAAGCGUCUGGAAAGGCGCGCGAUACAGGGUGACAGCCCCGUACACAAAAGCGCACAUGCUGUGAGCUCGAUGAGUAGGGCGGGACACGUGGUAUCCUGUCUGAAUAUGGGGGGACCAUCCUCCAAGGCUAAAUACUCCUGACUGACCGAUAGUGAACCAGUACCGUGAGGGAAAGGCGAAAAGAACCCCGGCGAGGGGAGUGAAACAGAACCUGAAACCGUGUACGUACAAGCAGUGGGAGCCCCACCACUAAGCCAGUGGUGAACUCCACAUACGCAUCCUUUGCGGAAGAUGCGGUUAACGGAGCGAAAGCGACGUUCAACCUCAGAAGAAGCAGAGGGGGCUUAGUGG
rnacentral:rRNA from 1 species